rnacentral:rRNA from 1 species
GACGAACGCUGGCGGCGUGCUUAACACAUGCAAGUCGAACGGAAAGGCCCUGCUUUUGUGGGGUGCUCGAGUGGCGAACGGGUGAGUAACACGUGAGUAACCUGCCCUUGACUUUGGGAUAACUUCAGGAAACUGGGGCUAAUACCGGAUAGGAGCUCCUGCUGCAUGGUGGGGGUUGGAAAGUUUCGGCGGUUGGGGAUGGACUCGCGGCCUAUCAGCUUGUUGGUGGGGUAGUGGCUUACCAAGGCUUUGACGGGUAGCCGGCCUGAGAGGGUGACCGGCCACAUUGGGACUGGGAGACGGACCGGACUCCUACGGGAGGCAGCAGUGGGGAAUAUUGCGCUAUGGGCGGAAGCCUGAUGCAGCAACGCCGCGUGCGGGAUGACGGCCUUCGGGUUGUAGACCGCUUUCGCCUGUGACGAAGCGUGAGUGACGGUAAUGGGUAAAGAAGCACCGGCUAACUACGUG